GACGAAGGGGGCUAGCGUUGUUCGGAAUUACUGGGCGUAAAGCGCGUGUAGGCGGUUGCCCAAGUCGGGUGUGAAAGCCUUGAGCUCAACUCAAGAAUUGCACUCGAUACUUGGUGACUAGAGGACCGGAGAGGAUAGUGGAAUUCCCAGUGUAGUGGUGAAAUGCGUAGUGAUGUGGAGGAACACCAGUGGCGAAGGCGACUCUUUGGCCUGUAACUGACGCUGAGGCGCGAAAGCGUGGGGAGCAAACAGG
rnacentral:rRNA from 1 species